rnacentral:rRNA from 1 species
AGAGUUUGAUCCUGGCUCAGAGUGAACGCUGGCGGCGUGCUUUACACAUGCAAGUCGAACGAGAACGGGUUAUAGCUUGCUAUAAUUGUCAGCUAAGUGGCGAACGGGUGAGUAAUGUAUAGAUAACAUGCCUCUUAGAGGGGGAUAACAGUUGGAAACGACUGCUAAUACCCCAUAUUCCUUGUAUAUAUAAGUAUAUAAGGGAAACGGUUUAUUCUGCUAAGAGAUUGGUCUGUAUGGUAUCAGGUAGUUGGUGGGGUAAAAGCCUACCAAGCCUAUGACGCCUAGCUGGUCUGAGAGGAUGAUCAGCCACACUGGAACUGUGACACGGUCCAGACUCCUACGGGAGGCAGCAGUGGGGAAUAUUGCACAAUGGACGAAAGUCUGAUGCAGCAACGCCGCGUGGAGGAUGACACAUUUAGGUGCGUAAACUCCUUUUCUGAAGGAAGAAUUUUGACGGUACUUCAGGAAUAAGCACCGGCUAACUCCGUGCCAGCAGCCGCGGUAAUACGGGGGGUGCAAGCGUUACUCGGAAUCACUGGGCGUAAAGCGUACGUAGGCGGUUUAGUAAGUUGGGGGUGAAAUCCUAUGGCUCAACCAUAGAACUGCUUCCAAAACUACUAGACUAGAAUCAGGAAGGGGCAGAUGGAAUUAGUGGUGUAGGGGUAAAAUCCGUAGAGAUCACUAGGAAUACCAAUAGCGAAGGCGAUCUGCUGGUACUGUAUUGACGCUGAGGUACGAAAGCGUGGGGAGCAAACAGGAUUAGAUACCCUGGUAGUCCACGCCGUAAACGAUGAACACUAGUUAUUGGGAUGCUUGUCAUUUCAGUAAUGCAGUUAACACAUUAAGUGUUCCGCCUGGGGAGUACGGUCGCAAGAUUAAAACUCAAAGGAAUAGACGGGGACCCGCACAAGCGGUGGAGCAUGUGGUUUAAUUCGAUAUACGCGAAGAACCUUACCUGGACUUGACAUCCUAAGAAUCUUUCAGAGAUGAGAGAGUGUCUUUCGGGAAACUUAGUGACAGGUGCUGCACGGCUGUCGUCAGCUCGUGUCGUGAGAUGUUGGGUUAAGUCCCGCAACGAGCGCAACCCCUGAUAAUAGUUGCUAGCACUUCGGGUGAGCACUCUAUUAUGACUGCCUGGGUAACCAGGAGGAAGGUGGGGACGACGUCAAGUCAUCAUGGCCCUUAUGUCCAGGGCUACACACGUGCUACAAUGGAUAAGACAGAGUGAAGCAAUACUGCGAGGUGGAGCAAAUCACAAAACUUAUUCUCAGUUCGGAUUGUUCUCUGCAACUCGAGAGCAUGAAGCUGGAAUCGCUAGUAAUCGUAGAUCAGCAAUGCUACGGUGAAUACGUUCCCGGGUCUUGUACUCACCGCCCGUCACACCAUGGGAGUUGAGUUCACCCAAAGACGGGAUGCUAAAUUGGCUACCGUCCACGGUGGGCUCAGCGACUGGGGUGAAGUCGUAACAAGGUA